AAAAAGGCUAUGGACGCAAAUCGGUAAGCAUAAUAUAUUAUUAAAAAAUAAAAUCAGUAUAUUUGUCCAACCUGUGUUCAAAAAUUGUGUUUAGGUAACAUUUCUGUAAAAGUAUUAUACAUAACAAUUUUGUUAUGAUUUUUCAUUCAAUGAAUAAGUUUGGAUAUUUAAUCUUUAAUUGAGUUGGAAGAUGAUUUUGCUCCUCCAAGUAAUUCUUGGAUGAACCAAUUCUAUCACCUAUAAUGCCUUUUCAAAUUCACGUGAAAGAAAUGUUAAUUUUGCGAUUUUGAAUUAAUAUAUUUAUUUAUGCUUUAUUAAAUUCCGGACAACCAAACCAAGGACAAAGUUGUUGUCUACAAGGUGUGCAUCAUCAUUGCACAAAUUACAGAAUAUUGAAAACAUGAUCACAUAAUAGUUCACAACUUGGAGUGGUGGGUUGACAAGAGCUUAACAAACUCAAUAACCANNNNN
rnacentral:lncRNA from 1 species